UACGUAGGGUGCAAGCGUUAAUCGGAAUUACUGGGCGUAAAGCGUGCGCAGGCGGUUAUGUAAGACAGGUGUGAAAUCCCCGGGCUUUAACCUGGGAACUGCAUUUGUGACUGCAUAGCUAGAGUACGGUAGAGGGGGAUGGAAUUCCGCGUGUAGCAGUGAAAUGGCGUAGAUAUGCGGAGGAACACCGAUGGCGAAGGCGGCAUCCUGGGACCGGCAUUUGACGCUGAGGAGCGAAAGCUAGGGGAGCAAAC
rnacentral:rRNA from 1 species